rnacentral:rRNA from 1 species
GUAGGUGGCAAGCGUUGUCCGGAAUUAUUGGGCGUAAAGCGCGCGCAGGCGGUUCUUUAAGUCUGAUGUGAAAGCCCACGGGCUCAACCGUGGAGGGUCAUUGGAAACUGGAGAAAUUGAGUACAGAAGAGGAAAGCGGAAUUCCACGUGUAGCGGUGAAAUGCGUAGAGAUGUGGAGGAACACCAGUGGCGAAGGCGGCUUUCUGGUCUGUAACUGACGCUGAGGCGCGAAAGCGUGGGGAGCAAACAGGAUUAGAUACCCUGGUAGUCCACGCCGUAAACGAUGAGUGCUAAGUGUUAGGGGGUUUCCGCCCCUUAGUGCUGCAGCUAACGCAUUAAGCACUCCGCCUGGGGAGUACGGCCGCAAGGCUG